rnacentral:lncRNA from 1 species
UAGCUGCCUCUCACUCCCCACCUUCUCUCUCCCUCGGUCCUCCUCCUGCCGCCGUCACCGGCGGCCCUGCCUCCUCUCUCUUCCCCCUUCGACCUAUCUCCCUUCCCUCAUUUCUCACCACCCUCUGUCACGCUCCUUACCGCGCCCAGCUGCUACCGCGCCGGCGAUCUUGGCCGCCCGUCACCAUCUUCUCCUGCCCGGCGUCGCCGUCCAAACGCCCUUUCUCCUUCAAUUCACGGCGAGACAACAUCCACAGAGAUUAAAACGAAACUUUAC